AGGUAAAAAUUUUAUUUAUUUAUUUAUUUAUAUCAUUUAAUUUAGCCUCAAUCUGCAUAUUCGUUCUUUUCUCUCUGUAGAAAAACCGACAAAGAUUGACUACUGAUUGGAACUUCACUCUGCAGAUGCCAAAAAACCCCUUAAAACACAGAUCUGUGAUUAUUAUUAUUCACCUCUGUAAAAAGAAAGUUUCUUGAUGUAACUUGUCUGAAAAAAGAAAGUCUUUUUACAGCAUUAAUACUGGUUAAUUAUAUAUUUAUAUUCCAUUAAUUCUUUCAGUAAAAUCCAUUCUCAGUACUCCCUCUUAAUUUGUUUUGAAUUAACAGUGAAAACGAAUAUUCGGGUUCGGUUUCGAGGGCAAGACAAGCAAGCCCUAGAUCAGACAAAAACAUAAGAAAAGGAACAGUUGUCAAGAAAUGCUGAUUAAUUAUGUUUUUUUUUUAUGUAUUGUUUUUUGUUCAUAGAAAUUUGGUUUUGUGUGAACACACUUUGAUUAUUUUAUGGAACAAUUGCUCCAACCAAGUGGUGUGUGUGUGUGUGUGUAUAUAUAUAUAUAUAUAUAUAUAUAUAUAUAUUCUUUGUGAUGUAUGAAAACUAGUUUCUAUGAGAAAUUCAAGUGGAUUCUUGGAACAAAUAAUUGUCGAA
rnacentral:lncRNA from 1 species